UACGGAGGGUGCAAGCGUUAAUCGGAAUUACUGGGCGUAAAGCGUGCGCAGGCGGUUUGUUAAGUCUGCUGUGAAAUCCCCGAGCUCAACUUGGGAAUUGCAGUGGAUACUGGCAAGCUGGAGUACGGUAGAGGAAGGUGGAAUUCCCGGUGUAGCAGUGAAAUGCGUAGAGAUCGGGAGGAACACCAGUGGCGAAGGCGAGUCCCUGGACAGGUCCUGACGCUGAGGCACGAAAGCUAGGGGAGCAAACAGG
rnacentral:rRNA from 1 species